rnacentral:rRNA from 1 species
CAGCAGCCACGGGAAUACGUAGGUGGCGAGCGUUGUCCGGAAUUAUUGGGCGUAAAGCGAGCGCAGGCGGUUAGAUAAGUCUGAAGUUAAAGGCUGUGGCUUAACCAUAGUACGCUUUGGAAACUGUUUAACUUGAGUGCAAGAGGGGAGAGUGGAAUUCCAUGUGUAGCGGUGAAAUGCGUAGAUAUAUGGAGGAACACCGGUGGCGAAAGCGGCUCUCUGGCUUGUAACUGACGCUGAGGCUCGAAAGCGUGGGGAGCAAACAGGAUUAGAUACCCCUGUAGUCCCUGUCUCUUAUACA